GAUGAACGCUGGCGGCGUGCCUAAUACAUGCCAGUCGAGCGAACGGACGAGAAGCUUGCUCCUCUGAUGUUAGCGGCGGACGGGUGAGUAACACGUGGAUAACCUACCUAUAAGACUGGGAUAACUUCGGGAAACCGGAGCUAAUACCGGAUAAUAUAUUGAACCGCAUGGUUCAAUAGUGAAAGACGGUUUUGCUGUCACUUAUAGAUGGAUCCGCGCUGCAUUAGCUAGUUGGUAAGGUAACGGCUUACCAAGGCAACGAUGCGUAGCCGACCUGAGAGGGUGAUCGGCCACACUGGAACUGAGACACGGUCCAGACUCCUACGGGAGGCAGCAGUAGGGAAUCUUCCGCAAUGGGCGAAAGCCUGACGGAGCAACGCCGCGUGAGUGAUGAAGGUCUUCGGAUCGUAAAACUCUGUUAUUAGGGAAGAACAUAUGUGUAAGUAACUGUGCACGUCUUGACGGUACCUAAUCAGAAAGCCACGGCUAACUACGUG
rnacentral:rRNA from 1 species